UACGUAGGGUGCGAGCGUUAAUCGGAAUUACUGGGCGUAAAGCGUGCGCAGGCGGUUUUGUAAGCCAGAUGUGAAAUCCCCGGGCUCAACCUGGGAAUGGCAUUUGGGACUGCAAGGCUGGAGUUUGGCAGAGGAGACUGGAAUUCCUGGUGUAGCAGUGAAAUGCGUAGAUAUCAGGAGGAAUACCGAUGGCGAAGGCAGGUCUCUGGGCUAUAACUGACGCUCAUGCACGAAAGCGUGGGGAGC
rnacentral:rRNA from 1 species